GACGAACGCUGGCGGCGUGCCUAAUACAUGCAAGUUGAGCGCUGAAGGUUGGUACUUGUACCAACUGGAUGAGCAGCGAACGGGUGAGUAACGCGUGGGGAAUCUGCCUUUGAGCGGGGGACAACAUUUGGAAACGAAUGCUAAUACCGCAUAAAAACUUUAAACACAAGUUUUAAGUUUGAAAGAUGCAAUUGCAUCACUCAAAGAUGAUCCCGCGUUGUAUUAGCUAGUUGGUGAGGUAAAGGCUCACCAAGGCGAUGAUACAUAGCCGACCUGAGAGGGUGAUCGGCCAAAAUGGGACUGAGACACGGCCCCAACUCCUACGGGAGGCAGCAGUAGGGAAUCUUCGGCAAUGGACGAAAGUCUGACCGAGCAACGCCGCGUGGGUGAAGAAGGUUUUCGGAUCGUAAAACUCUGUUGGUAGAGAAGAACGUUGGUGAGAGUGGAAAGCUCAUCAAGUGACGGUAACUACCCAGAAAGGGACGGCUAACUACGUG
rnacentral:rRNA from 1 species